AUUGAACGCUGGCGGCAGGCUUAACACAUGCAAGUCGAACGAGUGGCGGACGGGUGAGUAAUGCUUGGGAAUCUAGCUUCUGGAGGGGGAUAACUACGGUAAACUGUAGCUAAUACCGCGUACCAUAGGAUGAGCCCAAGUGGGCUUAGGUAGUUGGUUAGGUAAAGGCUCACCAAGCCGACGAUCUAUAGCUGGUCUGAGAGGAUGACCAGCCACACUGAGACUGAGACACGGCCCAGACUCCUACGGGAGGCAGCAGUGGGGAAUAGUGCGCAAUGGGAGCAACAGGACGCAGACAUGCGGCGUGAAUGAAGAAGGCCUUAGGGUUGUAAAGUUCUUUCGGUAGCGAGGCGUUAACUACAGAAGAAGCACCGGCUAACGCCGUGCCAGCAGCCGCCGUAAUUC
rnacentral:rRNA from 1 species